rnacentral:rRNA from 1 species
AACGAACGCUGGCGGCAGGCCUCAAACAUGCAAGUCUAGGGGGUGUAGCAAUACAUCACCGGCGGACGGGUGCGUAACGCGUGGGAAUAUACCUAUUGGUUCGGAACAACUGAGGGAAACUUCAGCUAAUACCGAAUAAGUCCUUACGGAGAAAGAUUUAUCGCCAAUAGAUUAGCCCGCGUUCGAUUAGCUAGUUGGUGGGGUAACGGCUCACCAAGGCGACGAUCGAUAGCUGUUCUGAGAGGAAGAUCAGCCACACUGGGACUGAGACACGGCCCAGACUCCUACGGGAGGCAGCAGUUGGGAAUCUUGGACAAUGGGGGAAACCCUGAUCCAGCCAUGCCGCGUGAGUGAUGAAGGCCUCGGUUGUAAACUACUUCGUCGC